rnacentral:lncRNA from 1 species
AGAGAGAGAGAGAGAGAGAGAGAGAGAGACUAUUUUAGAUAUUAAUCUCAAGAACUAAAGAAGAAUCAUCAUAAAAAAGAAAAAUUUAAAAAUAAUAAAUUAAUUAGAAUUAUUUAUUUUAAGACUUACUAAAAUUUUAGCUUUAUAGGUUUUUAUCUUAUAAAAUUCUUGAUGCUUAGUAAUUCUUCUAAAUCCUAAUCAAUAUUUACAAUACCAGACAAAUUCUAUUACUUAAUAUUUUUAUUUUACAUAUAUAUAUAUAUAUAUAUAUA